CCUACGGGAGGCAGCAGUAGGGAAUUUUCGUCAAUGGGCGCAAGCCUGAACGAGCGAUGCCGCGUGAGUGAAGAAGGCCUUCGGGUCGUAAAGCUCUGUUGCGGGGGAAAAAAGGCAGCAUCAGGAAAUGGGUGCUGACUGAUGGUGCCCCGCCAGAAAGUCACGGCUAACUACGUGCCAGCAGCCGCGGUAAUACGUAGGUGGCGAGCGUUAUCCGGAAGGAUUGGGCGUAAGGGGUGCGCAGGCGGUCCUGCAAGUCUGGAGUGAAACGCAUGAGCUCAACUCAUGCAUGGCUUUGGAAACUGGAGGACUGGAGAGCAGGAGAGGGCGGUGGAACGCCAUGUGUAGCGGUAAAAUGCGUAGAUAUAUGGAAGAACACCAGUGGCGAAGGCGGCCGCCUGGCCUGAUGCUGACGCUGAGGCACGAAAGCGUGGGGAGCAAAUAGGAUUAGAUACCCUUGUAGUC
rnacentral:rRNA from 1 species